GAGGUUUACAAAGUCUAGGUAACUCAUCUGAAGGCAAUGCUUAGCACUGCUUAGCAGCCCAAUAGUGGUACCAGCUCAGCACCAUGGUUUUAUUUAUACUUUGUCUCUGUAGACCUUGCUUUAUUCUGGACUUGAGAAGGAGUUCUCCAAGCAUUUGGAAGUAACUCCUUUUCCAUUGAAGUUGUUUAAAGAACACUUACCUUUUGAUACCCUUGGCUGUGUACAUUUGAGUAAAGAGCACUAUAAAAUCAAAAACCAAUGAAAUGGUUUCCAGAACACAGAACUAUUAAGCUUAAGAAAAGGACAGAAGGAACUGAAGAGAGAGGAAAUAUGUUUUGGAGCAUCACACUUCCACCUCAGAAGAAAUAAGGAAGGAAGGAGGAGGAUGUUCCCACGGCUCUUCAACCAGGCCGGCUCUUCAGCCUACAUCCCAAUCUCAUCAAGUAAAAGGGAUUUUUCAACUGGACCAAUCAGAUGGUUUAACAGUGCACUCCCACACAAUUCAACUACGCAAGGGAGAUUCACUUAACAUAUGCAGUCGUAUAACACCUACUAACAUUUUCAAACAUUAAACCUUUAAAAAAGAGUUCUAAAGAAAUAGAAGCAUGAAGUAUCAUCUCUCAAGUAUAUAGACACUACUUCAUGGUGUGGUAAUAUAUGCAUAUAGAAGCUAGUAAAUACCUCCAGGAGAUGCAAAAGGAAUUAGAACUGCCACAAGGUGCAAGC
rnacentral:lncRNA from 1 species